rfam:Gossypium arboreum cultivar AKA8401 contig_76378_1, whole genome shotgun sequence.
AUCUCGUGGUGUGACAUUUUUAAAAUAAUUCUUUGAAUCUCUUCCAUGCCUCAUGUAGGGAUUCAUCAUCCAAUUACUGAAAUGUGGUGAUCUCUUUUUGCAGUU